rnacentral:rRNA from 1 species
AGUGAACGCUGGCGGUAGGCCUAACACAUGCAAGUCGAACGGCAGCACAGGAGAGCUUGUUCUCUGGGUGGCGAGUGGCGGACGGGUGAGGAAUACAUCGGAAUCUACUCUGUCGUGGGGGAUAACGGAGGGAAACUUACGCUAAUACCGCAUACGACCUACGGGUGAAAGCAGGGGAUCUUCGGACCUUGCGCGAUUGACUGAGCCGAUGUCGGAUUAGCUAGUUGGCGGGGUAAAGGCCCACCAAGGCGACGAGCCGUAGCUGGUCUGAGAGGAUGAUCAGCCACACUGGAACUGAGACACGGUCCAGACUCCUACGGGAGGCAGCAGUGGGGAAUAUUGGACAAUGGGCGCAAGCCUGAUCCAGCCAUACCGCGUGGGUGAAGAAGGCCUUCGGGUUGUAAAGCCCUUUUGUUGGGAAAGAAAUCCAGCUGGCUAAUACCCGGUUGGGAUGACGGUACCCAAAGAAUAAGCACCGGCUAACUUCGUGCCAGCCGCCGCGGUAA